GAUGAACGCUGGCGGCGUGCCUAAUACAUGCAAGUCGAGCGAACAGACGAGGAGCUUGCUCCUCUGACGUUAGCGGCGGACGGGUGAGUAACACGUGGAUAACCUACCUAUAAGACUGGGAUAACUUCGGGAAACCGGAGCUAAUACCGGAUAAUAUAUUGAACCGCAUGGUUCAAUAGUGAAAGACGGUUUUGCUGUCACUUAUAGAUGGAUCCGCGCCGCAUUAGCUAGUUGGUAAGGUAACGGCUUACCAAGGCAACGAUGCGUAGCCGACCUGAGAGGGUGAUCGGCCACACUGGAACUGAGACACGGUCCAGACUCCUACGGGAGGCUGCAGUAGGGAAUCUUCCGCAAUGGGCGAAAGCUUGACGGAGCAACGCCGCGUGAGUGAUGAAGGUCUUCGGAUCGUAAAACUCUGUUAUUAGGGAAGAACAAAUGUGUAAGUAACUAUGCACGUCUUGACGGUACCUAAUCAGAAAGCCACGGCUAACUACGUG
rnacentral:rRNA from 1 species